GCAAGUCGAACGGCAGCGCGGGCUUCGGCCUGGCGGCGAGUGGCGAACGGGUGAGUAAUAUAUCGGAACGUGCCCAAGAGUGGGGGAUAACGUAGCGAAAGUUACGCUAAUACCGCAUACGAUCCAAGGAUGAAAGCAGGGGACCGCAAGGCCUUGUGCUCCUGGAGCGGCCGAUAUCUGAUUAGCUAGUUGGUGAGGUAAAGGCUCACCAAGGCGACGAUCAGUAGCUGGUCUGAGAGGACGACCAGCCACACUGGAACUGAGACACGGUCCAGACUCCUACGGGAGGCAGCAGUGGGGAAUUUUGGACAAUGGGGGCAACCCUGAUCCAGCAAUGCCGCGUGAGUGAAGAAGGCCUUCGGGUUGUAAAGCUCUUUUGUCAGGGAAGAAAAGGGUGCGGCUAAUAUCCGUACCUCAUGACGGUACCUGAAGAAUAAGCACCGGCUAACUACGUGCCAGCAGCCGCGGUAAUACGUAGGGUGCAAGCGUUAAUCGGAAUUACUGGGCGUAAAGCGUGCGCAGGCGGUUUUGUAAGUCUGACGUGAAAUCCCCGGGCUUAACCUGGGAAUGGCGUUGGAGACUGCAAGGCUGGAAUCUGGCAGAGGGGGGUAGAAUUCCACGUGUAGCAGUGAAAUGCGUAGAGAUGUGGAGGAACACCGAUGGCGAAGGCAGCCCCCUGGGCUAAGAUUGACGCUCAUGCACGAAAGCGUGGGGAGCAAACAGGAUUAGAUACCCUGGUAGUCCACGCCCUAAACGAUGUCUACUAGUUGUUGGGUCUUAAUUGACUUAGUAACGCAGCUAACGCGUGAAGUAGA
rnacentral:rRNA from 1 species